CAAUUCUUCUUCUUCUUAUUUAGUGUAAAUCCAAACAGCAACGCUCCUGAGUUUGUGUCCCACGUCACCUUCAGUCCGCUCAGAGCAGAGGAAUCAUUUCCAUAGAGAGGAGGCUUUGCAUCGUCAGCUGAUCCUCCACUGAACUGAGAAGCUUUAUAGUCCUGUGACUCCAACUCUGCAGGACUCAGACCCGUCAGUCGACCACAACCACCAUGACUCUCAUCACCCUCCUCAUCUGGACGCUGGCCUGCUGCAGCUUCACAGGAUGCAGCGGCCAGUUGACUGUGACUCAGCCUCCAGUCAUCACAUUUACUCCAGGAUCCACUGUCACGCUGACCUGUAAAACCAACACUGCUAUUAGCACUAGUUAUAUGUCCUGGUACCAGCAGAAACCUGGACAGGCUCCCAAGCUUCUUAUAUACUAUACAUCAACUCUUAAUACAGGAACUCCCUCUCGAUUCAGUGGCAGUGGCUCUGGUUCUAGCUUCACCUUAACCAUCAGUGGUGUUCAGGCUGAAGAUGUUGGAGAUUAUUACUGUCUUGGUACUGUUGGCAAUGGAAAGUUCACACAGUGA